AUUAGUAACUAAUGAACACAGGAACUUCCGAAUGAACUUUAAUAUAUAAUGGGCCAACGAUCGAGAAAAUAGUAUGUCGCGAAGCUAAAAGGGCGAAGAAAUGAAGGUAUUGUCUCAAAUGGCUCUAUUUUAAUGAGACCAACGCAAGAGAACAGGCGCGACUAACCGACAUCAUUUGCGCGAAAAAGGGCACAUUUUUGACGGAUAAUUAACUCACCUUUAGCACAGUUUAUUACCCAGAAACUGACCUGGAUAUCUCUCCCACAAACCCGAACUUCAUUCCACAUACCUGACUGGAAUAUCCAGAUGUAACUAGCGUCCACAACUGAACCAGCUGAACAAAUUAAGCAAAGUGAGCCGUGGUGGUAAAGCUGGGGAUUUGAUGGCGUGGCCGGAAAAAUUAACCCAUCAAAAAUUAAUGUCAAGAAGCCGGGCUUUGCCAUGGGGAAUCGUUUUACUACCGCCAGCGAAACAAAAGAUGAUAUUUUACGUCUUUUCUUAGGCAAAAACGAUUUCUCCGAGCGAGAUAUGAAUAAUAUGUUUGGGAUUUGGAUCUAUAUUUCAAACGGGCCGAGUCUGUUGCUGAAAACGCGAGCAGUUUUCCUUUGAAUAAAUUUGCGAUUUUGCUUCAUUUGC